rnacentral:rRNA from 1 species
ACUCAAAUGAAUAGACGGGAACCCGCACAAGCGGUGGAGCAUGUGGUUUAAUUCGAUGGUAAGCGAGGAACCUUACCAAGGCUUGACAUGUCUGGAAUUCCCUGGAAACAGGGAAGUGCCGCAAGGAACCAGAACACAGGUGUUGCAUGGUUGUCGUCAGCUCGUGUCGUGAGAUGUUGGGUUAAGUCCUCUAACGAGCGCAACCCUCGUCCUCUGUUACUAUUCACGGAGGAGACUGCCUGGGUUUAACCAGGAGGAAGGUGGGGAUGACGUCAAAUCAGCAUGGCCCUUACGCCUUGGGCUACACACGUGCUACAAUGGCCAGUUACAAUGGGUUGCAAAGCAGCAAUGCGAAGCUAAUCUCAUCAAAGCUGGUCCCAGUUCGGAUUGAGGGCUGCAAUUCGCCCUCAUGAAGCCGGAAUCGCUAGUAAACGCCAAUCAGCCAUGUGGCGUUGAAUACGUUCUCGGGUUUUGUACACACCGCCCGU